UAGGGAAUCUUCGGCAAUGGACGAAAGUCUGACCGAGCAACGCCGCGUGAGUGAAGAAGGUUUUCGGAUCGUAAAACUCUGUUGUUAGAGAAGAACAAGGACGUUAGUAACUGAACGUCCCCUGACGGUAUCUAACCAGAAAGCCACGGCUAACUACGUGCCAGCAGCCGCGGUAAUACGUAGGUGGCAAGCGUUGUCCGGAUUUAUUGGGCGUAAAGCGAGCGCAGGCGGUUUCUUAAGUCUGAUGUGAAAGCCCCCGGCUCAACCGGGGGGGGUCAUUGGAAACUGGGUGACUUGAGUGCAGAAGAGGAGAGUGGAAUUCCAUGUGUGGCGGUGAAAUGCGUAGAUAUAUGGAGGAACACCAGUGGCAAAGGCGGCUCUCUGGUCUGUAACUGACGCUGAGGCUCGAAAGCGUGGGGAGCAAACAGG
rnacentral:rRNA from 1 species